rnacentral:rRNA from 1 species
AGAAUCAACGCUGGCGGCGUGCCUAACACAUGCAAGUCGAACGAGAAAGUGGAGCAAUCCAUGAGUAAAGUGGCGCACGGGUGAGUAACACGUGACUAACCUACCCUUGAGUGGGGGAUAACCUCGGGAAACCGGGGCUAAUACCGCAUGAUAUCGAGAGAUCAAAGGAGCAAUUCGCUUAAGGAGGGGGUCGCGGCUGAUUAGCUAGUUGGUAGGGUAAUGGCCUACCAAGGCUAUGAUCAGUAUCCGGCCUGAGAGGGCGCACGGACACACUGGAACUGAAACACGGUCCAGACUCCUACGGGAGGCAGCAGUGGGGAAUUUUGCGCAAUGGGGGAAACCCUGACGCAGCAACGCCGCGUGGAGGAUGAAGUCCCUUGGGACGUAAACUCCUUUCGAUCGGGACGAUAAUGACGGUACCGGAAGAAGAAGCCCGGCUAACUUCGUGCCAGCAGCCGC